rnacentral:rRNA from 1 species
CAAUAGCGCAUAUUAAAGUUGUUGCAGUUAAAAAGCUCGUAGUUGGAUUUGUGGCGUACGGUGUGUUCCGGGCACUUGUUGUCUGAGUAACCUGCUGUUGCCAUCCUUGGGUGGAACCUGUGUGGCAUUAGGUUGUCGUGCAGGGGAUGCCCAUCAUUUACUGUGAAAAAAUUAGAGUGUUCAAAGCAGGCUUAUGCCGUUGAAUAUAUUAGCAUGGAAUAAUGAGAUAGGACUUUUUUGCUAUUUUGUUGGUUUGCGCAAAGAGGUAAUGAUUAAUAGGGACAGUUGGGGGUAUUCGUAUUCCAUUGUCAGAGGUGAAAUUCUUGGAUUUUUGGAAGACGAACUACUGCGAAAGCAUUUACCAAGGAUGUUUUCAUUAA